rnacentral:rRNA from 1 species
UACGUAGGGUGCAGGCGUUAAUCGGAAUUACUGGGCGUAAAGGGUGCGUAGGCGGUUCGUUAAGUCUGUCGUGAAAUCCCCGGGCUCAACCUGGGAAUGGCGAUGGAUACUGGCGAGCUAGAGUGUGUCAGAGGAUGGUGGAAUUCCCGGUGUAGCGGUGAAAUGCGUAGAGAUCGGGAGGAACAUCAGUGGCGAAGGCGGCCAUCUGGGACAACACUGACGCUGAAGCACGAAAGCGUGGGGAGCAAACAGG